CGGACGGGUGAGUAAUGUCUGGGAAACUGCCUGAUGGAGGGGGAUAACUACUGGAAACGGUAGCUAAUACCGCAUAACGUCGCAAGACCAAAGAGGGGGACCUUAGGGCCUCUUGCCAUCGGAUGUGCCCAGAUGGGAUUAGCUAGUAGGUGGGGUAAUGGCUCACCUAGGCGACGAUCCCUAGCUGGUCUGAGAGGAUGACCAGUCACACUGGAACUGAGACACGGUCCAG
rnacentral:rRNA from 1 species